AGUGAACGCUGGCGGUAGGCCUAACACAUGCAAGUCGAACGGCAGCACAGUAAGAGCUUGCUCUUACGGGUGGCGAGUGGCGGACGGGUGAGGAAUACAUCGGAAUCUACUUUUUCGUGGGGGAUAAGGUAGGGAAACUUACGCUAAUACCGCAUACGACCUACGGGUGAAAGCAGGGGAUCUUCGGACCUUGCGCGAUUGAAUGAGCCGAUGUCGGAUUAGCUAGUUGGCGGGGUAAAGGCCCACCAAGGCGACGAUCCGUAGCUGGUCUGAGAGGAUGAUCAGCCACACUGGAACUGAGACACGGUCCAGACUCCUACGGGAGGCCGCAGUGGGGCAUAUUGGACAAUGGGCGCAAGCCUGAUCCAGCCAUACCGCGUGGGUGAAGAAGGCCUUCGGGUUGUAAAGCCCUUUUGUUGGGAAAGAAAAGCAGCAGGUUAAUACCCCGCUGUUCUGACGGUACCCAAAGAAUAAGCACCGGCUAACUUCGUG
rnacentral:rRNA from 1 species